GACGAACGCUGGCGGCGUGCUUAACACAUGCAAGUCGAACGGAAAGGCCCUGCUUUUGUUGGGUGCUCGAGUGGCGAACGGGUGAGUAACACGUGAGUAACCUGCCCUUGACUUUGGGAUAACUUCAGGAAACUGGGGCUAAUACCGGAUAGGAGCUCCUGCUGCAUGGUGGGGGUUGGAAAGUUUCGGCGGUUGGGGAUGGACUCGCGGCUUAUCCGCUUGUUGGUGGGGUAGUGGCUUACCAAGGCUUUGACGGGUAGCCGGCCUGAGAGGGUGGCCGGCUGCAUUGGAACUGAGAUACGGCCCAGCCUCCUACGUGAGGCAGCCGUGGGGAAUAGUGCGCAGUGGGGGGAAGCCUGAUGCAGCAACGGCGCGUGCGGGAUGACGGCCUCCGGGUUGUAAACCGCUGUCGCCUGUGACGAAGGGUGAGUGACGGUAAUGGGUAAAGAAGCACCGGCUAACUACGUG
rnacentral:rRNA from 1 species